CGUUCCCUACGGGGGGCAGCAGUGGGGAAUAUUGCACAAUGGGGGAAACCCUGAUGCAGCGACGCCGCGUGAGCGAAGAAGUAUUUCGGUAUGUAAAGCUCUAUCAGCAGGGAAGAAAAUGACGGUACCUGACUAAGAAGCCCCGGCUAAACACGUGCCAGCAGCCGCGGUAAUACGUAUGGGGCAAGCGUUAUCCGGAUUUACUGGGUGUAAAGGGAGUGCAGGCGGCUUGGCAAGUCUGAUGUGAAAGGCUGGGGCUCAACCCCAGGACUGCAUUGGAAACUGUUAGGCUGGAGUGUAGGAGG
rnacentral:rRNA from 1 species